UGGUCUGCUCUACAUAGGAGGCCACGUCGUGAACACAGGGAAAGGAGCAGAGGGGGAAAAGAAGAGACCGUGAGAGAAAGGGAAGAACGCAGUAGAGAGGGAGGGGGAGAGUGGGAG